rnacentral:tRNA from 1 species
AAAUAAGUAAGCUAAUUUAAAAGCUUUUAGACUCAUACUCUAAACAUAGAAUUAUAUUCUCUUAUUUA